GCAAUCGACCACAGGAUGUGGAAAACAGGGCUUCCCGUUCGCUCAGCCGUACUUAAGCCGCAUGCCGAUUAAUUAGUACCACCGUGGGUGACUAGGUGGGAAUCCUAAUUGUUGAUUGUU
rfam:Fonsecaea multimorphosa CBS 102226 unplaced genomic scaffold supercont1.1, whole genome shotgun sequence.